rnacentral:lncRNA from 1 species
GCCAAUAAUAUCAGCCUCCAACGUUGAUGAAAAUGCUUGCUGACACCCACCUGGCACAAGCACAUUCAUGCCUAGCCAGCUGGACUGUAUCAAGAGGACAAGCUGAAGCACCAGAAGGUGUGCCAGCAUGGAGAUUUGUUAUAAUUUCAGAAGGCAUUUCAAAACAACUUCCAGGAUGAUUGAUUGUACAUAUAGAACCUGAAACCUCCUAGACCACCUCAGCUUGUCACGUCAAGUCACCUUGUCCUUGCUGCUACUUGGAAGCACGCAAAGUUUAGUCACCGUGCGGAUGUUCAGAGUUUCAUGGUUGAAUGUUGGAACCAACUUUUAAAUUCAUUUGAUUUCA